GCGAACGCUGGCGGCAGGCCUAAUACAUGCAAGUCGAACGGCUUCUUCGGAAGCAGUGGCGGACGGGUGAGUAACGCGUGGGAACGUGCCCUUUGGUACGGAACAACUGAGGGAAACUUCAGCUAAUACCGUAUGUGCCCUUCGGGGGAAAGAUUUAUCGCCAUUGGUGCGGCCCGCGUUAGAUUAGCUAGUUGGUGGGGGAAAGGCCUACCAAGGCAACGAUCUAUAGCUGGUCUGAGAGGAUGAUCAGCCACACUGGGACUGAGACACGGCGCAGACUCCUACGGGAUGCAGCAGGAGGGAGUCUUGCGCAAUGGGCGAAAGCCGGCCGCAGCCAUGCCGCGUGAAUGAUGAAGGUCUUAGGAUUGUAAAAUUCUUUCACCGGGGACGAUAAUGACGGUACCCGGAGAAGAAGCUCCGGCUAACUUCGUGCCAGCAGCCGCGGUAA
rnacentral:rRNA from 1 species